rnacentral:rRNA from 1 species
AUCUUCGACUAUAUCUAGUUGUCGCUGUCCAGUCUCAUCAGAUCUUGAAAGCUAAGCAAGGCCCGGUCAGUAUUUGGAUGGGAGACAGCUGGAAAUACCGUGAGCCACAAUG